rnacentral:lncRNA from 14 species
AGGUUCUCCAAGGUGGUGUACUACCAUAAAGCUGGCUUUUAUCCACACAGAUUGAUGUACUGGUCUGAAAUUGGGGAGGAGCCUCGAAUAGAACAAGCUGGCAUGGACGGAAACAGCCGAAAGAUACUUGUCAAUCAAGGCCUUGGCCGACCAACCAGCAUAGCUCUUGACCAGUUAAGUUGGAAGAUAUUCUGGUCCGAUGAGAAAUUUCACUGCAUUGGCUCUGUCAACCUAGAUGGUAGUGGCAUUCGUGUAAGUGUCCUUUUGACAUUAGGAUCAGCUGAAGUAUCAUGGGUCUUGUGUAAAACUCACCCAGAGAGCUCACCUCUCCAUUGUAGAUGAUGCAGCUAACACAAAUCCAGAGCCCCUUUUCAGUCGCUGUGUUUGAAGAUAAAGUCUUCUGGUCUGACCUUCAGACAAGAACAAUACAGUCUGUGGAGAAGAUGACAGGCAAGGACAGGGCUGUCCUCAUCAAGCGUUCGGGACAGCCCUUUGGACUCAAAAUAAUGCAUGAAGUCCUCCAGCCCAGGUCUUCUAGUCCUUGUCUGGACAUAGGAUGUUCUCACUUGUGCCUUCUGAGCCCACAAGCCAAGGGAAGCUGCCGUUGUCCAGUUGGCCUCCUGCUGGCAGAUGAUGGAAUCACUUGUGUGUCUCUCCAGGAGUCUGGGUUUGUGUUCCUGGUAUUGCCCACUGUUCUCACCCAGAUCUAUCUGAGAAAUCUUAAGACUACUCCAUCACAAACAACUGUGCCAGAACACAGAACACUUCCCUUUACCAGUGUCAAGCAGCUGGCAUCAGUGGAUUAUCUUGUCCAGGAAAAGGCCCUCUACCUGUCAGAGCUGAACACCAGUGACAUCAGGCUACUGAGGCUGAGAGAACGAGGGAUACUGUCAUGGCAGAGAGUCAUCUCUGUGAGGGGGACAGUGAUAGACUUUGCCUUGGACUGGAUGAGUGGGAAUAUAUACUGGAUCGACACUGAGAAUCCCUACAUCAACGUUGCUUUCUCCAAUGGCCAGUAUCCCAUUGUUUUGCUCAGUGAAAACCUUUACCGCCCAUCGUCUAUUGUCCUCCACCCACCUACCGCAGUCAUGUGCUUGGCAGACUUGGGUUUGCAGGAUGCCGGGAGACAUGGCUCCAGCAUCGAAUGUGCCUCUAUGGAUGGCAGCCAGAGAAAAGUGCUAUGGCUGAAAUCCCCAGUCCCUGUGGGUCUGGCUCUCUCAGAUUCAGGGACCCGAGUAUACUGGGCAGAUACUGGGCAGGGACUUAUACAAAGUAUUCAACUCGAUGGCUCAAGAUACAGAGUAGACCACCAAGGACUUAAGGGUCUUCACCUCUUUGCAUGUGGUCAAGACAUGAUGUUGUGGACAACGGUUGAUGAUGCUCAGAUCACCAGAGUUUGGUACAACAAAGCACAAGUCUCAGAAAACCAGUGGUUCCAAGUGGACCAGAAGAUUGUAGACUUAAAAGUGUAUAGUGUCCUUAGUCAACGGGGUAACAACAGCUGUUCAAAAGACAAUGGAGGAUGCAGUCAUAUCUGUUUACCAAAUCCCGAGGGCAGGACUUGCCGGUGUCCCCGUGGGUACUGCUUGGUUGAGGGCCACACCUGUGUGGAAGCUGUCCAGUGCCCUCCGACGUUGCAAUGCUGUAAGGAUGGUCAAAGGUGC